ensembl:lncRNA
GCCAGUGCCACUCCUUGGCAAUNCUAUUCCUUUUCUAUCAUCAAUCUCACAUAUGAUUGGAGCCAACCUAGAUCUAUAUACCAUACAAUUAUUUCCUUUCAACAAGGAAGUGGGCAGCACAUUUUUGCUGCCACAGCCAAGCUGCUUAAAUGAAUGAUGUCCCAACACACGCAUUUGGAAUCCAGAUAAUUGUGGAGAGGAGAUGAAAACAGUAUUUUGAUGUGUUCUUCCUUUGCUGCGUCUGUAGGUGCCCCUCCUACCGAAGCCAGUGGGAAGACUAUUGGUACAUGGGCCCCAAGUGUGAGUCUCUCUGGAGUACUGCAGACCUGAUUGUAGUAGCUACUCUCCCUGCCCUCGCCUUGGCUGCAAUAGCUGCUGUUACAGUGCAGUGCAUCGGCUCUUGUAAGAACAAGCCAAAGAANAGGGUGAAACACAGCAGCCCCAGCGCAAGACAACCAAGACCUCCAGGACCUUUAAACUCAAGUCACAAUCCUUACCUGGCUAAUAAGGAUGAUGGAGCACAAGAGACGAUCUUCCCCAGACUGACUCUUCAGAGCCAAUUUCAAGGAAGCUCCUUCGAACAAGUGAACCCAGAGCAUGUUGGAGGUUUUAGCAGUGCCCUACACCCACCAUUGAGAAGACUCAUUCCAAAAGAAACUGGACCCUUGACGAAUUGGUCUUCAGGAGGCAAUCAGAACGGUCCGUGGGAACCUGAGAUGCCUAAUAAUGUUUAUGAAGAAAACCCAUUUUCAGAUAUACCCAUGCGACAGUUCAAUACACCUGAUGCCUCAGUGUUCCCUCAGCCUGACUAUCAUCAGCAUGCCCCGAAUUAUUUGAAUGCUCAAAGAGGAAGCAGACCAUACGGGAUUGGGCGUGCUCAGAACAUACGCACUUAGAAGCUUUUUUAAAGCCAAGCUGGAAAAUACUGUGGAAUGGUAGCAUUUCAGCCUUAUUCCUUCACUCUGUUAAAAUUUAGCUUGUAAAGUGCUUCUCAACAGAUGAAUACCUUUGUGGCAAGUGCGUCCCCAGCCAUAUCAAGAAAUUUGAGGUGACAAUCUUCCUUACUUAGCAGUAGAAUCUACCUCCAGCCAAAGCCUCUGAAGUUCAUCAAGAUCAGCGUUUAUCAACUUACCGGUAGUUCCAGUCAUCUGAAGUUACUUUCUGUGCUGGUCUCUGCUCCAACCUGCCUUUCUUUCAUGCAGAAGGAGGUAAUGAGUACAGGCUUAAUAGAUAUAGGAUUGACGCAUUCAUGGUUUCAUGGCGCAGGUUUGCAGCAGGUUUGCAGCAGGGCAAAACUAGCAAAUAUUAAUCUUGCCACUUAAAGAAAACAAUAUGGCUUUCAGGGAAGAAGUUUUCUAAAAGAUGCACAUAGAGGAUCUCUUGGGCAUUUUUUCCCUGUUAACUUUAUCUCUGAACAAAAUUCAGUCCUGCUUUGAUUUUUCUGACUAACAAAAUUCGUUUUUGAGUUCAUCACUGUAAUCUUCCUGGAAGAAGGCAAUGGCAAACCACUUCUGUAUUUUUGCCAAGAAAACUGCUUGAUUAUGUCCAUGUAGUCAUCACAUAUUAAGCUCAAUGCGGGUGUCUUUACCUUUAAGUAACGGAUACUAUGAAUUCUAAUUAUUAAAAACUUUCAAAAGAUCAAAUACUAAGUAUUAACUGAAGCAACUGUUUGCCUUUAAGUGUCCUUUAUGAAACUUAAUAGUUUUGUCUAGUGUGA